CUACGGGUGGCUGCAGUGGGGAAUAUUGCACAAUGGACGAAAGUCUGAUGCAGCAACGCCGCGUGGAGGAUGACACAUUUCGGUGCGUAAACUCCUUUUAUAUAGGAAGAUAAUGACGGUACUAUAUGAAUAAGCACCGGCUAACUCCGUGCCAGCAGCCGCGGUAAUACGGAGGGUGCAAGCGUUACUCGGAAUUACUGGGCGUAAAGAGCGUGUAGGCGGGUGCAUAAGUUGGAAGUGAAAUCCUAUGGCUCAACCAUAGAACUGCUUCCAAAACUGUACACCUAGAAUGUGGGAGAGGUAGAUGGAAUUUCUGGUGUAGGGGUAAAAUCCGUAGAUAUCAGAAGGAAUACCGACUGCGAAGGCGAUCUACUGGAACACUAUUGACGCUGAGACGCGAAAGCGUGGGGAGCAAACAGGAUUAGAUACCCCAGUAGUC
rnacentral:rRNA from 1 species